AUUGAACGCUGGCGGCAGGCCUAACACAUGCAAGUCGAACGAGUGGAGGACGGGUGAGUAAUGUCUGGGAACUGCCCGAUGGAGGGGGAUAACUAUUGGAAACGAUAGCUAAUACCGCAUACUGUGAGAUGGACCUGCGUUGUAUUAGCUAGUUGGUGAGGUAAAGGCUCCACAAGGCGACGAUACAUAGCCGACCUGAGAGUGGGAUCGGCCAAACCGGGACUGAGGAACGGCCCAGGCUCCGACGGGAGGCAGCAGUAGGGAAUGUGUGGCAAUUGAAGGAAGUCUGACCGAGCAACGCCGCGGGAGGGAAGAAGGUUUUCGGAACGUAAAGCUCUGUUGUUAGGGAAGCGGUAACUAACCAGAAAGGGACGGCUAACUACGUGCCAGCAGCCGCGGUAAUAC
rnacentral:rRNA from 1 species